GAUGAACGCUAGCGGGAGGCCUAAUACAUGCAAGUCGAGCGGUAGAGUGACUUCGGUUGCGUGAGAGCGGCGAACGGGUGAGUAACGCGUACACAAUCUACCUUUAAGAGGGGAAUAGCCCUGGGAAACUGGGAUUAAUGCCCCAUGGCAUCACGAAGUGGCAUCGCUUUGUGAUUAAAGCUGAGGUGCUUAGAGAUGAGUGUGCGUCUGAUUAGCUAGUUGGUGCGGUAACGGCGCACCAAGGCGACGAUCAGUAGGGGGCGUGAGAGUGUGGACCCCCACACGGGUACUGAGACACGGACCCGACUCCUACGGGAGGCAGCAGUAAGGAAUAUUGGUCAAUGGAGGAAACUCUGAACCAGCCAUCCCGCGUGCAGGAAGAAUGCCCUAUGGGUUGUAAACUGCUUUUAUCUGGGAAGAAAAGUCGGCAUUUAUGCUGAUCUGACGGUACCAGAGGGAAUAAGCACCGGCUAACUCCGUGCCAG
rnacentral:rRNA from 1 species